rnacentral:rRNA from 1 species
CCUACGGGAGGCAGCAGUCGAGAAUCAUUCACAAUGGGGGAAACCCUGAUGCUGCGACGCCGCGUGGGGGAAUGAAGGUCUUCGGAUUGUAAACCCCUGUCAUGUGGGAGCAAAUUAAAAAGAUAGUACCACAAGAGGAAGAGACGGCUAACUCUGUGCCAGCAGCCGCGGUAAUACAGAGGUCUCAAGCGUUGUUCGGAAUCACUGGGCGUAAGGCGUGCGUAGGCUGUUUCGUAGGUCGUGUGUGAAAGGCGCGGGCUCAACCCGCGGACGGCACAUGAUACUGGGAGACUAGAGUAAUGGAGGGGGAACCGGAAUUCUCGGUGUAGCAGUGAAAUGCGUAGAUAUCGAGAGGAACACUCGUGGCGAAGGCGGGUUCCUGGACAUUAACUGACGCUGAGGCACGAAGGCCAGGGGAGCGAAAGGGAUUAGAUACCCUAGUAGUC